GAUGAAGAACGCAGCAAAAUGCGAUACUUGGUGUGAAUUGCAGAAUCCCGUGAACCAUCGAGUUUUUGAACGCAAGUUGCGCCCGAAGCCUUUUGGCCGAGGGCACGUCUGCCUGGGCGUCACGCAUCGCGUCGCCCCCCACAAUUCUCCGUAAAGGGAACAUGUGUUUUGGGGGCGGAUAUUGGUCUCCCGUGCUCAUGGCGUGGUUGGCCGAAAUAGGAGUCCUUUCGAUGGACGCACGAACUAGUGGUGGUCGUAAAAACCCUCGUCUUUUGUUUCGUGCUGUUGCUCGCAAGGUAAACUCUUUAAAAACCCCAAUGUGUCGUCUCUUACGACGCUUCGACCGCGACCCCAGGUCAGGCGGGACUACCCGCUGAGUUUAAGCAUAUCAAUAAGCGGAGGA
rnacentral:misc_RNA from 1 species